GACGAACGCUGGCGGCGUGCCUAACACAUGCAAGUCGAGCGGAGGCAUACGAGGAGUAAUCUGAGUAUGCCUGAGCGGCGGACGGGUGAGUAACGCGUGAGCAACCUGCCUUCCACAGGGGGAUAACGUACCGAAAGGUACACUAAUACCGCAUGAGACCACGGUACCGAUGGUAGUGGGGUCAAAGGAGCAAUCCGGUGGGAGAUGGGCUCGCGUCCGAUUAGGUAGUUGGCGGGGUAACGGCCCACCAAGCCUGUGAUCGGUAGCCGGCCUGAGAGGGUGAACGGCCACAUUGGAACUGAGAGACGGUCCAAACUCCUACGGGAGGCUGCAGUGGGGAAUAUUGGGCAAUGGGGGGAACCCUGACCCAGCAACGCCGCGUGAGGGAAGAAGGUUUUCGGAUUGUAAACCUCUGUUCUUGGAGAAGAGUGGAAGACGGUAUCCAAGGAGGAAGCCCCGGCUAACUACGUGCCAGCAGCCGCCGUAAGAC
rnacentral:rRNA from 1 species